rnacentral:rRNA from 1 species
UACGUAGGGUGCGAGCGUUAAUCAGAAUUACUGGGCGUAAAGCGUGCGCAGGCGGUUUUGUAAGACCGAUGUGAAAUCCCCGGGCUCAACCUGGGAACUGCAUUGUUGACUGCAAGGCUAGAGUGUGUCAGAGGGAGGUGGAAUUCCACGUGUAGCAGUGAAAUGCGUAUAGAUGUGGAGGAACACCGAUGGCGAAGGCAGCCUCCUGGGAUAACACUGACGCUCAUGCACGAAAGCGUGGGGAGCAAACAGG